UAAUUGAGAAAAUGCCUUACAGCUGGGUCU
rnacentral:piRNA from 1 species